AUUGAACGCUGGCGGAAUGCUUUACACAUGCAAGUCGAACGGCAGCACGGUCUUCGGUUUGGUGGCGAGUGGCGAACGGGUGAGUAGUACAUCGGAACGUGGCCAUACGCGGGGGAUAAGGAAGCGAGAGCUACGCGAUUACCGCAUACGAACGAAGGAUGAAAGCGGGGGAUCGCAAGACUUAGGGAGAAUGGAGCGGCGGAUGGCAGAUGCGGUAGUUGGUAGGGUCAAGGCAUACCAAGCCGACGAUGUGUAGCGGGUCUGAGAGGAUGAUCGGCCACAUUGGGACUGAGACACGGCCCAGACUCUUACGGGAGGAAGCAGUGGGGAAUUUUGGACAAUGGACGCAAGUCUGAUCCAGCCAUUCCGCGAGCAGGAUGAAGGCCCUCGGGUUGUAAACUGCUUUUGUACAGAACGAAAAGGCUCUGGUUAAUACCUAGGGCUCAUGACGGUACUGUAAGAAUAAGCACCGGCUAACUACGUGCCAGCAGCCGCCGUAA
rnacentral:rRNA from 1 species